rnacentral:rRNA from 1 species
UACGAAGGGGGCUAGCGUUGCUCGGAAUCACUGGGCGUAAAGCGCACGUAGGCGGAUUGUUAAGUCAGGGGUGAAAUCCUGGAGCUCAACUCCAGAACUGCCUUUAAUACUGGCGAUCUUGAGUCCGGGAGAGGUGAGUGGAACUGCGAGUGUAGAGGUGAAAUUCGUAGAUAUUCGCAAGAACACCAGUGGCGAAGGCGGCUCACUGGCCCGGUACUGACGCUGAGGUGCGAAAGCGUGGGGAGCAAACAGG